CACAGAGACAGAACCAUGUUGAUGAUCAUCUAUCAUGUGUUUUUGUAGAAUUCAUGCCCAUAUCCCAAAAUAAAUGAGUGAAAGGAUUGUUCUGUGUAUUCUAUGGGUUUUGUGUAGAUGGGCAAAUUGUUUAAAUCUUUCCUAUGGAAGUAGGUUUGCCAUGAGGCUCUUGUUCUUUCAAUUGGUUGGAAUGGACAGGAUACCUACUGCAUUUUCAUCCUGCGGUAUACUGCUGACAAUCGGCAGGAAUCUAG
rnacentral:misc_RNA from 1 species